rnacentral:lncRNA from 1 species
UGGAUGAAGAAAGCAGGAUGAGGAAAAUAUAAAUAUUACUACAAUAAUACUAUAAUAAUAAUAUUCAAAUAUUAUAAAAUACAUAAAAACAAUACUAUAAUAACAAAUAUAUAAUAUUAUAUAUAUGUAUCUCCUAAGCAGGGAGGCCCCUCACACAAACACAUGGGAUAAAUAAUAGAGUUUAUAUAUAUAUAGAUAGAUAGAUAUAGAUAUCUACUGAACAGGGACCCCCCACCACACACACACACACACACACACACACACAAACACAUGGGAAAUGAAGGGAAAUAAGCCCUAGAAGGGUGGAGGUCUGCCUGUGGGCCUCUCACCUGCUCCAUCCUGAAGGAAGGUGAGGCCUUUCCUUGAGGCGCCAAGCUCUGAAGAGGAUGAGAAAAGGGUAACCGUUGGGUGCCGUCUUUCCUCCACAUCCUGCGUGCGCGCGCCCGCCUCUCUCUCUCCCCUCAGUACCUGCCCCGCGCGCUCCCGCUCCUCAGCCGUUUGUUCUGCAGCCGCAGCAUACAAUCUUUUUGUAUGGCUGAGCCCAUGCGCGCGCCUCUGCAAGCGAGCGAGCUCCCAAUCCCUGAUUGGCUGCCUCAUUGCCUCUAUUUGCAUACGGGGGGGGGAAGGAAGGAAGGACCUGAGACGAGCUCCGCCCCUUCAUACGGUUGUGUUCGUUCUCGAAGAGCAAGCCACGCCUCUUCGAAAACCAGAACUCGCCCCCUUGAAGGUUCUUUCUCCUAAGCGUCCCGAAGAGCGCGCCUUAUGGGUGUUCUUUAGUGCGCCUGCGCAGUGGCUCUUCUGUGCUUCCAACUUCACCCAGCAGCAUAUGAUAUGCUCUUGCAACUCCACAUCCAAGAUGCGGUGCUUAAUGGCGGAUUUGGCAUUGUCAUAUCCAAGUGUUAUUAAAGUUUGAGUUAACACCAUGAAAUCUCUUGCGGAGAGACAUUGACUCGACAAGACAAGUGAGCUUCCUGCACAUGACUUUUAUUAGAACUGAGCGCGAGAUGAAGCAUUUCAGAUCAGCAGAACAAAAACUAAAAGAGAACGAAAGCUUCUUCCCGAAAGCAGUUUGCAACGGCAGAAUCAAGCAGCGAGUGCAGUUGGCUUCUGAAAUUUCACUUGGCAAAAACGAGCGCUCUAAAGGUAAAUACUGACUUCCAGGUCUGUUAAAGGGAAGUCAGCCUUGAAAGUCAACAUUGAGGAAUGAUUAACUAAAGGCCAACUUCGGUAGGUAGGCCAGCUAUUUUAUAUAAGUGUAUUGUCGCUCCAAACUAAAAUACCCCCAUUGUCUUUAAGCAGAGAACUAAAGCUUUUUUGUCUUCAAAAUAUAAUUUGCAAUUUUUUUAAAAAAUGAUGAGGAUCUUAUCUGCUUUACAAGAGAUGGGUCACUGCGACCUGAGUCGAAACAACAGAGAACCCAGAAUCUGAAGAAUUAAUGCACUUUGAUACCACUUUAUCUGCCAUGGCUCAAUGCGAUGGGAUCCUGAGAGUUGUAGUUUUACAAGGUCUUCAAGCCUUCUUUUCCAAAGACUGCUGCUCUCUUGAUGAUUACAUAGCAUCGAACUAUGGAGAUUAAAGUGGUGUCAAACUGUAUUAAUUCUACAGUGUAGAUGCACUCGUAAGGAUGAACCUACACUGACACAGAAUCCAGUUCAAAGCAGAUAAUCUGGAUUCAGAAAAUUUGAUUAUAUGGCAAUCUACAUCAUCUUAAUGACUUCACCUUCCAAUAAGUAAACUGAUAAACUAAAGGGGGAAGAUCAUUAAAAAAAAUGUUGCAGUUGCUCCAUGGGUUGCUGCAAGUCACUUUCCCUGGGAAAACAUUGCAAGAGUGAAAUAACAUGGGUGGAGGCAGGGUGUUUGCUCUGGCAUCAUCAGUGGCGACAGGACUGCAAACAAAACCUCUUCCAGUUCUUCCAAAUCAGGAUAUCCUGGGAGAAAAAAACAGAGAAUCAACAAUUGAGCUGAGCAAGAAUGGACAGCCACUGGUCUAGGAAUGGAUCAGAAUUAAUUACUGAGAAAAAAACGACCAACAUUUCUAAAAAUCUUCAUAUUUAGGAUGUGGAGAACUUGAGUGUCAGGAUUUGUCUGGAGAAGACAUCAAAAUCUGCAAGUUCAAAACUCUUAGAAGUCUAGGUCUCAAUUGAAUUUAAUGGGAUGAAUGGAUUAUGACCUGUUAGGAUCAUAACCUUUUGGGUAGCAGAGUUAUGGAAAUGUUCCUUUAGUUUAUUGGGUAAUGGAUGAUCACUGGGCAUGUAGAUAUUUUGUUUCUAUUCUACGCUUUCAGCCGACAAAGAUUCAAGUAGACUUCUUUUAAAGCAACAAGUUUGUUUUACUCAUAGGUAAAGGUAAAGGUGUUCCCCCGAUACUAAGUCCAGUUAUGUCCAACUCUGGGGGUUGGUGCUCAUUUCCAUUUCGAAGCCGAAGAGCCGACAUUGUCCAUAGACACCCCCAAAGUCAUGUGGCCGCCAUGACUGCAUGGAGUGCCAUUGCCUUCCUGCCAGAGUAGUACCUAUUGAUCUACUCACAUUCGCAUGUCUUUGAACUGCUAGGUUGGCAGAAGCUGGGGCUAACAGCGGGCACUCACUCCACUCGCUGGAUUCGAACCACUGACCUUUCGGUCCACAAGUUCAACAGCUCAGCGCUUUAACACGCUGCACCACUAGGGGCUUUUGGAAGAAAGCACCAACUAUUCCCAAAACUCCAUUGAAAAAGGCUGCUUUAGACUCUCCAAGCGGACCUCUCCUUCCUGGACUCUUCCCUCUAUUCUUCCCUCUCCUUUUUAUUCAGAAGCAA